rnacentral:rRNA from 1 species
AUCCAGACUCCUACGGGAGGCAGCAGUGGGGAAUAUUGCACAAUGGGGGAAACCCUGAUGCAGCAACGCCGCGUGAGUGAAGAAGUAUUUCGGUAUGUAAAGCUCUAUCAGCAGGGAAGAAGAUGACGGUACCUGAUUAAGAAGCCCCGGCUAACUACGUGCCAGCAGCCGCGGUAAUACGUAGGGGGCAAGCGUUAUCCGGAUUUACUGGGUGUAAAGGGAGCGUAGACGGCAGUGCAAGUCCGGAGUGAAAGCCCGGGGCUCAACCCUGGGACUGCUCUGGAAACUGUAAAGCUGGAGUGCGGGAGGGGCAGGCGGAAUUCCUGGUGUAGCGGUGAAAUGCGUAGAUAUCAGGAGGAACACCGGCGGCGAAGGCGGCCUGCUGGACCGUAACUGACGUUGAGGCUCGAAAGCGUGGGGAGCAAACAGGAUUAGAUACCCUAGUA